AGUGAACGCUGGCGGCAGGCCUAACACAUGCAAGUCGAACGGCAGCACCGUACGAGCUUGCUCUUACGGGUGGCGAGUGGCGGACGGGUGAGGAAUACAUCGUAAUCUACUUUUUCGUGGGGGAUAACGUAGGGAAACUUACGCUAAUACCGCAUACGACCUACGGGUGAAAGCAGUGGAUCUUCGGACCUUUCGCGAUUGAAUGAGCCGAUGUCGGAUUAGCUAGUUGGCGGGGUAAUGGCCCACCAGGGCGGCGAUCCGUAGCUGGUCUGAGAGGACGAUCAGCCACACUGGAACUGAGACACGGUCCAGACUCCUACGGGAGGCAGCAGUGGGGAAUAUUGGACAAUGGGGGCAAGCCUGAUCCAGCCAUACCGCGUGGGUGAAGAAGGCCUUCGGGUUGUAAAGCCCUUUUGUUGGGAAAGAAAAGCAGCAGGUUAAUACCCCGCUGUUCUGACGGUACCCAAAGAAUAAGCACCGGCUAACUUCGUG
rnacentral:rRNA from 1 species